rnacentral:rRNA from 1 species
CCUACGGGUGGCAGCAGUGGGGAAUAUUGGACAAUGGGGGCAACCCUGAUCCAGCCAUGCCGCGUGUGUGAAGAAGGCCCUCGGGUUGUAAAGCACUUUCAGUGAGGAAGAACGCCUGGUGGUUAAUACCCAUCAGGAAAGACAUCACUCACAGAAGAAGCACCGGCUAACUCCGUGCCAGCAGCCGCGGUAAUACGGAGGGGUGCGAGCGUUAAUCGGAAUUACUGGGCGUAAAGCGCGCGUAGGUGGCUUGAUAAGCCGGUUGUGAAAGCCCCGGGCUCAACCUGGGAACGGCAUCCGGAACUGUCAAGCUAGGGUGCAGGAGAGGAAGGUAGAAUUCCCGGUGUAGCGGUGAAAUGCGUAGAGAUCGGGAGGAAUACCAGUGGCGAAGGCGGCCUUCUGGACUGACACUGACACUGAGGUGCGAAAGCGUGGGUAGCAAACAGGAUUAGAUACCCCAGUAGUC